rnacentral:rRNA from 1 species
AUGGCUGCGGUAUUUUGACCGUGCAAAGGUAGCAUAAUCAUUAGUCUUUUAAUUAAAGGCUGGAAUGAAUGGUUUGACGAAAAAUAAGCUGUCUUAAAAAAUAAAAUUGAAAUUUAAUUCUUAGUAAAAAUGCUAAGAUAUUAUUAAGGGACGAGAAGACCCUAUAGAGUUUAAAAUAGUUAUAAAUAAUUUUAUUUUGGAAUAUAAAUUAUUUGUUAUUAUUUUUUGUUGGGGUGACAAGAGAAAAAAAAUAACUUCUUUUUAAUAUUGACUUAAAUAAUAGAAAUAUUAAUAUGAUCUUUUUUUAGAAAUUAUGAGAAAAAAUUACCUUAGGGAUAACAGCGUAAUUUUAUUUGAGAGUUCAAAUCGAUAAUAAAGUUUGCGACCUCGAUGUUGGAUUAAGAUUAUUAUUAGGUGAAGAAGUUUAAUAAAUAAGUCUGUUCGACUUUUAAAAUCUUACGUGAUCUGAGUUCA